CCUACGGGAGGCAGCAGUAGGGAAUCUUUCACAAUGGGCGAAAGCCUGAUGGAGCAACGCCGCGUGCAGGAUGAAGGCCUUCGGGUUGUAAACUGCUUUUAUAAGCGAGAAAUAUGAUGGUAACUUAUGAAUAAGGAUCGGCUAACUACGUGCCAGCAGCCGCGGUCAUACGUAGGAUCCGAGCAUUAUCCGGAGUGACUGGGUGUAAAGAGUUGCGUAGGUGGCAUAAUAAGUAGCUAGUGAAAUCUGGUGGCUCAACCAUUCAGACUAUUAGCUAAACUGUUAAGCUCGAGACCGUUAGGGGUAACUGGAAUUUAUAGUGUAGGAGUGAAAUCCGUAGAUAUUAGAAGGAACACCAAUAGCGUAGGCAGGUUGCUGGGACGGUUCUGACACUAAGGCACGAAAGCGUAGGGAGCAAACGGGAUUAGAUACCCCUGUAGUC
rnacentral:rRNA from 1 species